CGAACUUCAUCUAUUUUAAACCUUCAUUUUUCGACACUAGGAGUCUAGGAGUGUAGGAGUAAACACAAAAACAAAAUGAAAUCAGCGCUCAAAAGUCAAAAUUGUGAUAGUGGUAAAUAAUUUCGUGGAGGUAGAGUGAGAGACAAAACUACAAGAUGAGAGGGAGAACAAGGAUGAACGCCAUGAGAUCAGGGUUAGUAGUGGUCGGAGCAUUAGCAUUUGGAUACUUGACCUUGCAAAUCGGUUUCAAACCCUUCUUAUUAAAAGCCCAACAAACUCUGGAAUUAGAGAAGGAAAAGGAAUUACAGCAGCAGCAACAACAACAACAACAACCAUCCUUUGAUUUUCCCGAUUCUUCUUCCCCUGUUCGCAACUGAACUUUCAAUCUUAUUUUCAGAGCAACUAAUAUCAAGUUUACGGACAAUCACCUAUGCGAAAUGCGGGAGGAUAAGAAAUGCCGGAGGAUCAUGGCUCCCAAGUUGCAAGGCUUCUUUUCUAAUUCAACAUGAUGUGGCUCCUUUCAGUAGUCAAACUUAUUAGUUGCUCUGUCCCUAAUUCUCGUCGUAGGAGAAAUUGUUCUCAUCGUUUGAAGUUUGACACUAAACAUGAAGGUAUUGGAAUCUCGGAUGCGGCCAAUAUGGCUAGAUCAAGAAUGUUCUUUCCAAAUUAUGUCAUAAUGAUAGACUUUCUUAUCAAUAGCUGCUUGAUUCAGCAAAUACAAGGGGGAUGCGCUGUAUUGCUCGAUCUGGUUCAUUGUAGUUUCUUGGAAGAUGAAUUUGAUGUACCCUUGUUUAAUUGGGUUUUGUUUUUCUUUAAGACUUAUUGUAGAUGUCGUUUGGCCUUCAAUUAAUGAAAUUUCUCGUUCAAAAAAUAAAAAAAGAUGCAUAUUAUGUUAAAAAAAGGAAGAUGAUAAAGAGAUUGCAUAUUUAGUUCAAACAUUUUACACAUUUAUUACAAAAAAUAUGCAAAAAUAUCCUUCUUCUCAUUCUCAUUUUAAGAAUCUUUUCAUUUGACCCUAAAUCCUUAUCGCUACUCUCUCCGUUUCUUUUUAAUCUACAAGCUUUCUUUUUUAGGCUGUUUCUUUUUAAUCUACACAUUGUUGCUUUUUCUAUUUUUGGUAACAUACCACAUCUACUUUCUCCUCAUUUUCCAUCCAUGUCAUUCAAUUUUUAAUAUUUUAACCCACUCUUUUGUUUCUCUCUUUCACUUUUCAGUUUCUCUCUCAUACUUUUGUACUUACUCCUUUGUUCUCUCCAAAGUAAAGUGAGUAAAUUAAAAUGAAAUGGAGGGAGUGUAUUCUAUGUAUGAUGAGGAAUGAUGCUAAAAUUAACUCUUAAUGAUACCAACUAUUGUCCGUAUGUACUAAAUAAUAAGUACUCAGUUAUUUGCUUUCCAUAACACCGACUAUCGACAUCUAUGUGCUAAAUAGUUAUCCAUCAAUCGAAAAGGGUUUUUUACGGAAUAUUUGACCAGCUAUCAGUAUACUUUGGCUCUCAAUAUAUACCACUUUCUUUAAAUCCUCGUGGUGAUUGAUAUUAUGGUUUUAUAUAGAGUUUUCUCCCCUAUUUAUGUGCUAAAAGUUAUGGUUAUGGUGCUCUUAGGAGCCAUUUGGUACUAACUCUCUACAUCUAGUUGUGGUUUGCUGUUUUGUAUUGGAUUGUAGGUUUUAGGGAGCUAUUACCUACUUUAUAUGAUUGCACACUGGAUUAGAGAGGUUGGACGCUGAGUUUUAAGAUCCCGAGGAUGCUUUCUGGAACUUCGUGCAAAGGAAGAACAAGAAACACGCCUAAACUGACUUGGCCCGACAGCAUCGGGCGGCCAAGCCCGAUCGGGCGAAGAAACGACUUUCGUGGUUCUGCUGUAGGCCCGAUCGGGCGUUCAACGCCCAGUCGCGAUUCGGUGUCUCGCCCGAUCGGGUGAAUUGGCCCGACAUCGGGCCCCCUGCCAGCUGCUGCUACCUACCAUUUUAUCAGACCGCCCGAUCUCAUCGGGCGUCUGUCAAUUUUCGCCUUUUUCUUCGCUUUGGAGCACGAUUUCAUUGGGCAUCUUGGGCCCGAUCGGGCGACUGACACGCGGUUUUUUUAAUGAAUACAGGCCCUUCUUUCGAGACUUUUGGCUAUUGUUUUAGGGCUUGUAUAAAUAGAAAAAUCAGAAUUAUUAGCUUUCAUCUUGGUUUUUAUUAUUAGUUUUCUCUAGAGAGUGUUUGAAGAACCUUAAUUUAGUGCUUUGUGAUUUCAAUUCAAGAUCAAACCUUUUGCUUAUUCAUAGUUCAAUAUAAUUCGGUAAUCUUUCUUCAUUAUUUUUUUGUUAUUUCUUCCAUUGUUAAUUAGAUUAUUUUCUUAGUUAUUUGCUAUGUUUCAAAGUAUGAGUUUUUAUAUGAUUCUUGUUAUUGUUUUCAUGAUUAUGAGUGAGUAGUUCUAUAUCUAGAAUUAUGGAGAUCUAUGUAUGCAAUGAGGGAUUGAUAGAUUAGUUUGAUUAUCUUGUAUUUCAAUUGUUUCCUUUGAUUGAUUCUUCAUGCUAGAAUUAUAAGUUAGGCCUGAUUUGGAUUUCUAUUGUUGCAAUACUGAAUCUACUUCGAGAGGAGAGAUACCGUAUAGGCUUUCAAUCAUUAGGCAAAGUGACCCUUGACUAUGUGAUGAGUGAUAUUUAUAUCACUCUAAACCUCUUAUUUAUCCCUAUAUUUAACCUUUAUUUUGUAUUUUACCCUCUUUUAUUUGUUUGUUUUGCUUAUUUUUUUUGUUUUACUAGUUCUUUUUAGAUAUGUCUUUGUUUUACUUUUCAAGUUACUUUUUACAUUAUUUUCUUGGUUCUUUAUAGGUCAAAUUGAAAUAUACUUUUAAUUUCAUAUAUAAAAGCCAAAGGAAUGCACAAAUGUGGAGUAAAGCAUGAAUGAUAAAGGGAAGACAAAUGAAAGUUGAAGAAGCAAGAUUCACAAGAUGGUCCACUUUGAACGACCAUAUCUUCCAUACUACAAAUCAUUUUUCAGUGAUUCAAAUUGAAGAGUAAAAUUUGGCUCGUUAUCUUUCCAACGAUAGGUCACAUGCUUGAUUUGCAUUAAAAACGAGAAAGUUAUGGUCAUUUGAAGUUGAGCUGUUUGUGCAGUUUUCUUAGGAGCGCCCGCUCCCUUUUCAAAGGAGCGCCCGCUCCUCGUUUUUGGAGCUCCCGCCCCCAGGUCGCUCUCUGGUCGCUCCAACUUUCUGUUUUGCCCAGUUACCAUAGGAGCGCCCGCUCCUAUUUAUAAAGGAGCGCCCGCUCCUUUCAAAUUUCCGGACAGCUCUGUUUUUUUCGCGACUCUUUAAUGAUGUAAUAAUUGGACCUAUAAAUAGGAAUCAUCCCUAUUCAUGAAGGGGGCCCUAAUUUUGAAGGGGGAUUAGCCUCCAUUAGUCUUAGAUUAGGAUUUUAAGUGAGAGAAAUCUCAAAACCUAGAGAGAGAAAAGGGAGAAAACUCAAAGAGAGGUUGAAGAUUGUAGAUUCAAGGGUGACACUUGUAUUGGAACUUUCAACCAUUCAUCAAUGAGCAUUUCUUACUAUA